rnacentral:rRNA from 1 species
AUGGACAUAUCUAAAGGCUUCCUUAGAAGAGACAAAACUCUCCAAUUAGUAAGGCAAGAUUCAAGACCUCUAGCCAUGAAGCAUAGAUUAGCAUGCAAAGCUGAUGAUAUUGAUAGUAUUGAAGAAGUUAUAGAUAUACAAAGAGAUCUCGAAAGAUAUCAGAAAGAUACCUUAAGAAAAAUAAAACCACAACAAGUAUAUCACAUGGGUAUGUUUGAAAGUAAGAGUGGUCUAUACAGAAUAUCCCGAGAAGUAGAAUUAAGUGUGUUAACACAUCUAGUAGAUUUAAGAUUUGUAAGCAAAAAUAUUGAAAAUGAGCUAAAAUUAAUUGGUUAUAAAUAUAUUCAUCAAGAUGAUGUGGGACUGCAUAAUUUAGACAAUGCAAUGGAAGCCAUGGAAGUAGAAAAUAGUGGUAAAAGAAGAAGGAUAGGGGAAUCGUCUGUAAAAAGAGAAGGAGAAAGAGAGAGACCUACUAGAUCAGCUAGACAAUGGCCUCCAGAAAAAGAUGAUUAUCAACCUACAUAUAUCCCAGGACAAUAUAGAUAUAUAGGUACUAAAAGAAGAGAUUUUGAAAAACCAGUGCAAUUUCAGAAUUAUAAGAAUGAUGUCGCUAUAUUAAACAUAGCAGCUCAUGUUCCAAUAGAUUGGCCAAAUAUAAUCAGCAUAUGGAAAGGUUUAAUAGUGCAAAAAUAUAUACAAAAUCAGUAUAAUAUAGGCACUAAGGUAGAAGAUAUGUGAACAUAUCUUGAAACAUUUUUAGGAGAAUCUGUAGAAGUUCUAUGGGAACAAUGGGUAGAGUCAUACCCUAGUCAAUAUGAAGAAUUAAAAAGGGCAUGAAGUAACCCUAAUAACUUUGCGAAUCUUAUCUCAAAUAUGAUCAUAGCAGAAGAUCCAGAAUUAGGACAUACCUCAUUGCAAAAUGAAAGGUUAAGGGAAAUAGAAAAAUCAACAUUAACUAGCUGGAAAGGUAUUAAAGCAUUUUCCCAGCAUUAUUUGUAUAAUGCUACUACUGCUAAACAAGGUUUUAAUGUUGGUGUAGUAGAAAGAUAUUUUAAUAAGUUGCCUGACCCCUUAUGGUCAAUAAUAUUUGAGGAAUAUAAAAAAGAAACACGAGGAAAUGUGGUAAAUAUAUCCCAAGCCAUAACAUUUGUUUUUAAACAGCUAAGAAAGGUAUGUACUAGCAUUCAAGCCCAAAGAUCUAUGAAGAAAUCAGAUUACAAUUUUUGCAAUAACAUUGUCCAAAUACCGCUAACAUAUGGAGAAGAAAGGCAUAGGAAAAAAUAUAAACCACAAAGGAGAGAUAAUAGAAAUUUAAGAACAAAGAAAAGAUAUUUCUUAAGAAGGUCAGACAAUAGAGCCCCAUUCUUGCAUAAAAGAAAUGUAAGAAGAUAUAAUCCCAAGAAAACCUAUGAUAAAACAUGCAGGUGUUUCAUAUGUAACUCUCCUGAUCAUCUAAGUAGAACUUGCCCUAAUAAAGAUUAGAAAAGGUAUUCCAGUAAAUAUGAAGAACAAGAGAGAGUGUUAAUUAUAGAUAGGGUUAAUGAAAAUAUAUUAGUAUGUGAUGAUGAAAUAAAAGACGACGAGUCAAUAUAUUCAAUUAUAGAAACAGAUGAAGUAGAAAAUGAGGUUCUAGAAUAUGAAUCAAGUGAAGAUGAAAUAGACCUAAUAGAUGAAUUAGCCGGUUUAAAAAUUGAAAUGAUGAACCAAGUAGAUUAUGAACAUGAUUGGAUUAGAGGAAAAUGUGAUUAUAACAUAAAAUGUGCUUUCUGUAUAUAUUACCCAAGCCAAGAUAAUAGGUUCACAUGUAGCUUGUGUUUAAAACAAGCAUGUGCCUCAUGUCUAAGAGCCAAUAAUCAAAAGUGGAGACAAGAAAUAGAAUUAGAACCAGAAGAACGAAUAUUAUCCAGUAGGGUUAGAAAUUUAGAAAAUAGAAUAAAUAAGCUAGAAGCAGAGCUAGAAAAACUUAAAGAUGAGUUAGAAAAUGGUAAGAAGGAAGAUAAUAAUGUUGCUAAAAUCACGGAAAUGAAAGAGAAAAUAGUAACAGUAAGGGAUAAAAAAGGACACAAGUUAAUGCAAUUGAAAGAUGCAAUUACUAGUUUGGGAAACAAAUAUAUUGUUCGAUUAUCAUUCAAAGAAGUGUUAGGGAUAAUGAUCCCAGUUAGGAUUGUUCUGAAGCCAAAUAUUUCAUAUAAAAUACUGGCACUAUUAGAUACUGGUUGCACUAAGAAUAUCAUCCAUGAUAAAUAUUUUAUGAGAUGUCCCGAAAUAGUUGAAACUAUAGAUGAUAAUAAACCUGAAGAUUCUACCGAUAUGUCAGGAAUAAAGAAGAUCCAUAAUUAGCUAGCAUAUAAUAUUGAAGCUUACAUAAAUGGCACAAAAUAUAUAAUAGAUGAAAUUACAUUAAGAGUUUUGUCAGUAAUAAAUGAUGACAUGAUAAUAGGGUUAAGAUUUUUACAACAAUCUUUACAAACCACAAUCGUACAUGAAGAAGGGGUAACAUUUAUCCCUUAUCAAGAUAAUGUUCCAUACAUAUCUGAUGAUGAAUAUAGCACAAGUCUAGAUCCCCUUGAAUUCUGUAAAGACGAAGAACUUAGUGAGACCAUAGAAGAAUAUCAUAUAGAAAAUACAUGUAAAAAAUGCAUUGGGGUACAAUCAUUUUCACCAAAUUGGUAUAGAGAUAUAAAAUCUAAAAAAGAUAUAGAUAAGAUUGUGCAAAGAAUAGAAAGCAUACAAAUUAUUGGAGAAAUACCAAUGAAACAUUGGGAUAAGAACUCUAUAGUUUGCAGAAUAAAUAUCAUAAAUCCAGAUUAUAUAAUUAAAUUAGGACCAAUAAAAGCUACUCCAAAAGGUAUUGAAGAGUUCAAAAUGCAUAUUGAAGAGUUAUUAAAGUUAAAAGCUAUAAGAGAAAGCAGAAGCCCUCAUCGGUCUGCUGCAUUCAUAGUUAGAAAUCAUGCUGAAGAAGUUAGAGGUAAAUCUAGAAUGGUAAUUAAUUUUAAAAGGCUUAAUGAUAAUACAGUUGACAAUGCAUACAACAAACCUAAUAAGUAG